rnacentral:sRNA from 1 species
UUGCUAUCUGCGAUAUAGAAGAUUCGAACCUGCCGCAGGUUCGGGUCGAACGCAGUGAGACAACGGAGCCGUUUACGGCGACGGCCCGUAGGGCGAGGCGAAGCCGAGUCAUCCUGCACGACCCACCA